rnacentral:ncRNA from 2 species
UCAACCGCGAUGGGAGAACCGGCCACUGCGCCGGUGCCGAAGGAGCAACCGCCCCGGAAACUCUCAGGCAGACGGACCGUCGCGGGGUA